AUGAACGCUAGCUACAGGCUUAACACAUGCAAGUCGAGGGGCAGCAUGAACUUAGCUUGCUAAGUUUGAUGGCGACCGGCGCACGGGUGAGUAACACGUAUCCAACCUGCCGAUGACUCGGGGAUAGCCUUUCGAAAGAAAGAUUAAUACCCGAUGGCAUAGUUCUUCCGCAUGGUAGAACUAUUAAAGAAUUUCGGUCAUCGAUGGGGAUGCGUUCCAUUAGGUUGUUGGCGGGGUAACGGCCCACCAAGCCUUCGAUGGAUAGGGGUUCUGAGAGGAAGGUCCCCCACAUUGGAACUGAGACACGGUCCAAACUCCUACGGGAGGCAGCAGUGAGGAAUAUUGGUCAAUGGACGAGAGUCUGAACCAGCCAAGUAGCGUGAAGGAUGACUGCCCUAUGGGUUGUAAACUUCUUUUAUACGGGAAUAAAGUGAGGCACGUGUGCCUUUUUGUAUGUACCGUAUGAAUAAGGAUCGGCUAACUCCGUGCCAGCAGCCGCGGUAAUACGGAGGAUCCGAGCGUUAUCCGGAUUUAUUGGGUUUAAAGGGAGCGUAGGCGGACGCUUAAGUCAGUUGUGAAAGUUUGCGGCUCAACCGUAAAAUUGCAGUUGAUACUGGGUGUCUUGAGUACAGUAGAGGCAGGCGGAAUUCGUGGUGUAGCGGUGAAAUGCUUAGAUAUCACGAAGAACUCCGAUUGCGAAGGCAGCCUGCUGGACUGUAACUGACGCUGAUGCUCGAAAGUGUGGGUAUCAAACAGGAUUAGAUACCCUGGUAGUCCACACAGUAAACGAUGAAUACUCGCUGUUUGCGAUAUACAGUAAGCGGCCAAGCGAAAGCGUUAAGUAUUCCACCUGGGGAGUACGCCGGCAACGGUGAAACUCAAAGGAAUUGACGGGGGCCCGCACAAGCGGAGGAACAUGUGGUUUAAUUCGAUGAUACGCGAGGAACCUUACCCGGGCUUGAAUUGCAACUGAAUGAUGUGGAGACAUGUCAGCCGCAAGGCAGUUGUGAAGGUGCUGCAUGGUUGUCGUCAGCUCGUGCCGUGAGGUGUCGGCUUAAGUGCCAUAACGAGCGCAACCCUUAUCGAUAGUUACCAUCAGGUUAUGCUGGGGACUCUGUCGAGACUGCCGUCGUAAGAUGUGAGGAAGGUGGGGAUGACGUCAAAUCAGCACGGCCCUUACAUCCGGGGCGACACACGUGUUACAAUGGCGUGGACAAAGGGAGGCCACCUGGCGACAGGGAGCGAAUCCCCAAACCACGUCUCAGUUCGGAUCGGAGUCUGCAACCCGACUCCGUGAAGCUGGAUUCGCUAGUAAUCGCGCAUCAGCCACGGCGCGGUGAAUACGUUCCCGGGCCUUGUACACACCGCCCGUCAAGCCAUGAAAGCCGGGGGUACCUGAAGUGCGUAACCGCAAGGAGCGCCCUAGGGUAAAACUGGUGAUUGGGGCU
rnacentral:rRNA from 1 species